AUUAGUUAUUGCAAAAAGUAACGAAUUUCAAAAAAAUAAAAAUGGUACAGGUUUCGUUCAAAUAUUUUAGGAACAUGAUUGGAUUGUGUUGCUUUUGGCACUUCAGUAAAAUGAAAGGCCAAUUUACAUCUUUUGUAAGUUUUAAGAGCCAUUUUUAGUUACUUUUAGCUUUUAGAGAAAUCACAUCGAGAGACACCAACGGACAAUUAAGAUGGUUCUCAAACCAAAUAUGAAUUUAGUGUCGUUUUGUCUUGGUCUUUAUAGGACCAACAAAUUCUUUUUGUGGAAAACGAUCGUUGUCACUGAGGCAAUUCGAGGCAUCGGGAUAAGAAAACUUACCGUGGUUUUCAUCCAAAAAGCAUUGAAUAUUAUGAGAUGGAAUAAAGGGACGAUCGAUUUUACGGCAUAUUCACGUUUAUUGUGGUCGCAUGGAGUCCAGUUAUUGGCGCUUUAAUGAGAACUAUUGGCAAGUUGGGAAAAACUUCCUUUACCCAUUUGGUUUAAGAGGAGAAAACUGCUUGCCACUAUUAUACAAGCAGUCAUUCAAAGUGGGUUAUUAUGGACUUCUGCCCAAUAUUUUUGUUGAUAAGAGGGAUAAUUCUGUCGCUGGGACAGAUGCCGAAGCAAUGAAGCUCGUGGCAGAGAAAUAUCACAUGAAAUUGGAAUUUCAUGUUGGUGAAGCAGGAAGAGUGGACACAACAAAUUCAAAUGCAACUCAUAAUUUAGCACGGGUAUUCCGGGGAGAGCUUCAAGCAGCAAUCCCGGGAUUAUUGGCUUACCACAAUAGCAUAUUUUUCGACCUGUCCCAUUUCCUUUUAUUCUCGCAACUCAGAUAUGUGACCAGGGUGCCCAGAAAGACAGUGUCUUUUGGGAAUGUCAUCAAAGGAUUCGAUAUGUUUAGUUGGAUUGGAGUGUUCAUCGCCCUGACUUGUUUCUCGGUCACUUUUCAGACCAUGUUUCAGGUUUAUAAAUUCGAGCUGAAGGACAAGACAUUAUACAAUAACCCCGGAAACCCGAUUGACUUCUUUUUACUCACGUUUACCACGUUCGUCGAGCCCUAUAAAAUCAAUUGGUUUCCGUCUUGGUCUGCUGGUAAAGUGACGUGAAAUCUAUUUGAUAUUGAUCGACGGUAAACAAGUUACUUUGUGUGUUUAGGAAAAAUGUUAGCCCUUUUGUGGUCGCUGUUUGCCCUCCUAAUGGUGAGCUUCUACAUGUCCAAUCUUAGAACCAAUUUGAUUGCACCAGGGUUGGAACCGGAAAUCAACAAUCAUGAGGAUAUCCUCAAAUAUGAUAAAUUUGUUCAUGUGAAUAUCCUCUUCAUUUUUCUCUGCCAAUUUGAGGUCUCUCCAGCUUUUGAUAAGGUUCUGGACAGUGUAGACAAAAAAGAUGGUUGGUUUUCCUCAGUUCAAGAGGAUGGGAUUCUGGAACCUCAUGUAGAAGCAGCCGUCCUUAACAAUGGAGAUGCCUACCUAUCCAGCGACGAAAAUGUCCUUUACUCUUAUUUGUUUCAAAAGACGUUGGGUUUUCCCAAUUUGAGGAUCUCCAAUGAUGGGCUGUACAAUUUCUAUAUGUCGAUGCGAUUUAAGAAAUAUUCCCCUUAUACACCCGAUAUCAACCACCUGUUCACCAUGUACCAAGAAGUUGGCCUAUUUCAAAAAUUCCUCAACAAACCUAUUCCUAUUAUAGCUCUACCUUCCACAUCGGUUGGUUCUCAGCAUGAAUCGUCGGAGAAUUUGAGGAUGAGCAUGGAAAUGUUGUGGACCCCUAUAAUACUUUUGGCAUGUGGAACAUUUGCUGGUGGUAUCGUAUUGCUUUUUGAAAUUGCCAUGGCUGGUCACAAGAAAAUGGUGUGAAGAAUAUGAAGAAAUGACAAAUGAUAUAUGAUAUAUGCUACAUCUGACUAAUUAAGCACACUGGACGUGAACCUUUGUCGAACUUGUAAUGCUAUCCAUCUAAUCAAUGUGUAUAAAACAUGUAUUUUAUCUUAAUACAAGUCAUUCGGAUUCAUAUAUUCCUCAUCCUCUAGCCCUUGAGGAUUUCCUAACCACGGGUAUUUCUUUGGACACUCAUGACAGGUUGUCAUAUAUUUCUCACCACUACCUUGCAUAGUAGGAGGAAGACUGUCCUCUGCAUAUCUAAAAGAAAAAUAAAGCAUUUUAGAUUGAAUUGAGAAGGCCUUGUUUGUUUUCAAUUUUUGUCAAUGUAAUUUUUUAUAUCGAACAUCGAAGGGAGCGAAAUAAGCAAAUUUCAGGACAACACAGAUUGAAACUAUAAUUGAUGGUUUCAAAGGGUGCAACCCUGCAAUUUGCAUGUUUAUCAAAAUGACAGAGGGCAUCAUAAAAGGUCAAAUUGUCCACAGUUAAGGAUAUCAUUCGAGUUUUUUGGACACAUCAAUUACCAUCAAGCUGCUGUAAAUUGCUCCAAGUAUUACAAAAAGCUACAUGGAAUUGAUCAGGCCAAAAUCUGAACCAAUGAACGUAACACUAUCGUGAGUAACUGACAAAUGCUGCAUCCCGUCACUGUGAGUACUACUGCUUGCAAAAU